CAUGUACUCCCUCCGUUCCGAAUUACUUGUCGCAGGUAUGGAUGUAUCUAGAUGUAUUUUAGUUCUAGAUACAUCCAUUUCUAUGACGAGUAAUUUGGAACGGAAGGAGUACAUA
rnacentral:pre_miRNA from 1 species